UACAGAGGGGGCAAGCGUUGUUCGGAAUUACUGGGCGUAAAGGGCGCGUAGGCGGCCUGCUAAGUCGAACGUGAAAUCUCAGGUCUCAACCCUGAGUCUGCUGGGUAGACUGCUGGUCUUGAGUGCAAAAGGGGUCGCUGGAACUCUAGGUGGAGCGGUGAAAUGCGUAGAUAUCUAGAGGAACGCCAAAGGUGAAGACAGGCGACUGGUUUGCAACUGACGCUCAUGGACGAAAGCGUGGGGAUCAAACGGG
rnacentral:rRNA from 1 species